rnacentral:tRNA from 1 species
GGGGAUGUGGCUCAGCGGUAGAGCGCUCGCCUUGCAUGUGUGCGGCUCUGGGUUUGAUCCUCAGCACCACA